rnacentral:rRNA from 1 species
AUACGUAGGGUGCAAGCGUUAAUCGGAAUUACUGGGCGUAAAGCGUGCGCAGGCGGUUUUGUAAGACAGAGGUGAAAUCCCCGGGCUCAACCUGGGAACUGCCUUUGGGACUGCAAGGCUAGAGUACGGCAGAGGGGGAUGGAAUUUCCCGUGUAGCAGGGAAAGGCGUAGAUAUGCGGAGGAACACCGAUGGCGAAGGCAAUCCCCUGGGCCUGUACUGUCGCUCAUGCACGAAAGCGUGGGGAGCAAACAGGAUUAGAUUCCCUGGUAGUCCACGCCCUAAACGAUGUCAACUGGUUGUUGGGUCUUCAUUGACUCAGUAACGAAGCUAACGCGUGAAGUUGACCGCCUGGGGAGUACGGCCGCAAGGUUGAAACUCAAAUGAAUUGGCGGGG